GAUUAAGUUAUUAAGGGCGCACGGUGGAUGCCUUGGCACUAGAAGCCAAUGAAGGACGUUACUAACGACGAUAUGCUUUGGGGAGCUGUAAGUAAGCUUUGAUCCAGAGAUUUCCGAAUGGGGAAACCCAGCAUGAGUUAUGUCAUGUUAUCGAUAUGUGAAUACAUAGCAUAUCAGAAGGCACACCCGGAGAACUGAAACAUCUUAGUACCCGGAGGAAGAGAAAGAAAAUUCGAUUCCCUUAGUAGCGGCGAGCGAAACGGGAAGAGCCCAAACCAACAAGCUUGCUUGUUGGGGUUGUAGGACACUCUAUACGGAGUUACAAAGGACGACAUUAGACGAAUCAUCUGGAAAGAUGAAUCAAAGAAGGUAAUAAUCCUGUAGUCGAAAAUGUUGUCUCUCUUGAGUGGAUCCUGAGUACGACGGAGCACGUGAAAUUCCGUCGGAAUCUGGGAGGACCAUCUCCUAAGGCUAAAUACUCUCUAGUGACCGAUAGUGAACCAGUACCGUGAGGGAAAGGUGAAAAGCACCCCGGAAGGGGAGUGAAAUAGAACCUGAAACCGUGUGCUUACAAGUAGUCAGAGCCCGUUAAUGGGUGAUGGCGUGCCUUUUGUAGAAUGAACCGGCGAGUUACGAUUUGAUGCAAGGUUAAGCAGUAAAUGUGGAGCCGUAGCGAAAGCGAGUCUGAAUAGGGCGUUUAGUAUUUGGUCGUAGACCCGAAACCAGGUGAUCUACCCUUGGUCAGGUUGAAGUUCAGGUAACACUGAAUGGAGGACCGAACCGACUUACGUUGAAAAGUGAGCGGAUGAACUGAGGGUAGCGGAGAAAUUCCAAUCGAACCUGGAGAUAGCUGGUUCUCUCCGAAAUAGCUUUAGGGCUAGCCUCAAGUGAUGAUUAUUGGAGGUAGAGCACUGUUUGGACGAGGGGCCCCUCUCGGGUUACCGAAUUCAGACAAACUCCGAAUGCCAAUUAAUUUAACUUGGGAGUCAGAACAUGGGUGAUAAGGUCCGUGUUCGAAAGGGAAACAGCCCAGACCACCAGCUAAGGUCCCAAAAUAUAUGUUAAGUGGAAAAGGAUGUGGCGUUGCCCAGACAACUAGGAUGUUGGCUUAGAAGCAGCCAUCAUUUAAAGAGUGCGUAAUAGCUCACUAGUCGAGUGACACUGCGCCGAAAAUGUACCGGGGCUAAACAUAUUACCGAAGCUGUGGAUUGUCCUUUGGACAAUGGUAGGAGAGCGUUCUAAGGGCGUUGAAGCAUGAUCGUAAGGACAUGUGGAGCGCUUAGAAGUGAGAAUGCCGGUGUGAGUAGCGAAAGACGGGUGAGAAUCCCGUCCACCGAUUGACUAAGGUUUCCAGAGGAAGGCUCGUCCGCUCUGGGUUAGUCGGGUCCUAAGCUGAGGCCGACAGGCGUAGGCGAUGGAUAACAGGUUGAUAUUCCUGUACCACCUAUAAUCGUUUUAAUCGAUGGGGGGACGCAGUAGGAUAGGCGAAGCGUGCGAUUGGAUUGCACGUCUAAGCAGUAAGGCUGAGUAUUAGGCAAAUCCGGUACUCGUUAAGGCUGAGCUGUGAUGGGGAGAAGACAUUGUGUCUUCGAGUCGUUGAUUUCACACUGCCGAGAAAAGCCUCUAGAUAGAAAAUAGGUGCCCGUACCGCAAACCGACACAGGUAGUCAAGAUGAGAAUUCUAAGGUGAGCGAGCGAACUCUCGUUAAGGAACUCGGCAAAAUGACCCCGUAACUUCGGGAGAAGGGGUGCUCUUUAGGGUUAACGCCCAGAAGAGCCGCAGUGAAUAGGCCCAAGCGACUGUUUAUCAAAAACACAGGUCUCUGCUAAACCGUAAGGUGAUGUAUAGGGGCUGACGCCUGCCCGGUGCUGGAAGGUUAAGAGGAGUGGUUAGCUUCUGCGAAGCUACGAAUCGAAGCCCCAGUAAACGGCGGCCGUAACUAUAACGGUCCUAAGGUAGCGAAAUUCCUUGUCGGGUAAGUUCCGACCCGCACGAAAGGCGUAACGAUUUGGGCACUGUCUCAACGAGAGACUCGGUGAAAUCAUAGUACCUGUGAAGAUGCAGGUUACCCGCGACAGGACGGAAAGACCCCGUGGAGCUUUACUGUAGCCUGAUAUUGAAAUUCGGCACAGCUUGUACAGGAUAGGUAGGAGCCUUUGAAACGUGAGCGCUAGCUUACGUGGAGGCGCUGGUGGGAUACUACCCUAGCUGUGUUGGCUUUCUAACCCGCACCACUUAUCGUGGUGGGAGACAGUGUCAGGCGGGCAGUUUGACUGGGGCGGUCGCCUCCUAAAAGGUAACGGAGGCGCUCAAAGGUUCCCUCAGAAUGGUUGGAAAUCAUUCAUAGAGUGUAAAGGCAUAAGGGAGCUUGACUGCGAGACCUACAAGUCGAGCAGGGUCGAAAGACGGACUUAGUGAUCCGGUGGUUCCGCAUGGAAGGGCCAUCGCUCAACGGAUAAAAGCUACCCCGGGGAUAACAGGCUUAUCUCCCCCAAGAGUUCACAUCGACGGGGAGGUUUGGCACCUCGAUGUCGGCUCAUCGCAUCCUGGGGCUGUAGUCGGUCCCAAGGGUUGGGCUGUUCGCCCAUUAAAGCGGUACGCGAGCUGGGUUCAGAACGUCGUGAGACAGUUCGGUCCCUAUCCGUCGUGGGCGUAGGAAAUUUGAGAGGAGCUGUCCUUAGUACGAGAGGACCGGGAUGGACAUACCUCUGGUGUACCAGUUGUCGUGCCAACGGCAUAGCUGGGUAGCUAUGUGUGGACGGGAUAAGUGCUGAAAGCAUCUAAGCAUGAAGCCCCCCUCAAGAUGAGAUUUCCCAACUUCGGUUAUAAGAUCCCUCAAAGAUGAUGAGGUUAAUAGGUUCGAGGUGGAAGCAUGGUGACAUGUGGAGCUGACGAAUACUAAUCGAUCGAAGACUUAAUCAA
rnacentral:rRNA from 4 species